rnacentral:rRNA from 1 species
GUGACCUCAAAUCAGGUAGGACUACCCGCUGAACUUAAGCAUAUCAAUAAGCGGAGGAAAAGAAACUAACAAGGAUUCCCCUAGUAACUGCGAGUGAAGCGGGAAAAGCUCAAAUUUAAAAUCUGUCAGUCUUUGGCUGUCCGAGUUGUAAUCUAGAGAAGUGUUAUCCGCGCUGGACCGUGUACAAGUCUCCUGGAAUGGAGCGUCAUAGAGGGUGAGAAUCCCGUCUUUGACACGGACUGCCAGGGCUUUGUGAUGCGCUCUCAAAGAGUCGAGUUGUUUGGGAAUGCAGCUCAAAAUGGGUGGUAAAUUCCAUCUAAAGCUAAAUAUUGGCGAGAGACCGAUAGCGAACAAGUACCGUGAGGGAAAGAUGAAAAGAACUUUGGAAAGAGAGUUAAACAGUACGUGAAAUUGCUGAAAGGGAAACGCUUGAAGUCAGUCGCGUUGUCCAGGGAUCAACCUUGCUUUUGCUUGGUG